AGGGCAAUUGCUAGAUCAUAUGAUAAGCAUAUUUUUACUUUUAUAAGAAACUGUCAAACUGUCUUCCAAAGCGGCUAUACCAUUUUGCAUUCCCCUGGUAAU
rnacentral:pre_miRNA from 1 species